AUUGAACGCUGGCGGAAUGCUUUACACAUGCAAGUCGAACGGCAGCACGGGGGCAACCCUGGUGGCGAGCGGCGAACGGGUGAGUAAUGCAUCGGAACGUACCCAGUCGUGGGGGAUAACUGUCCGAAAGGACAGCUAAUACCGCAUACGUCCUGAGGGAGAAAGCGGGGAGUCGCAAGACCUCGCGCGAUUGGAGCGGCCGAUAUCGGAUUAGCUAGUUGGUGGGGUAAAGGCUCACCAAGGCGACGAUCCGUAGCGGGUCUGAGAGGACGACCCGCCACACUGGAACUGAGACACGGUCCAGACUCCUACGGGAGGCAGCAGUGGGGAA
rnacentral:rRNA from 1 species